rnacentral:rRNA from 1 species
GUAGUCCACGCCCUAAACGAUGUCAACUGGUUGUCGGGGAAGUAAUUCCUUGGUAACGAAGCUAACGCGUGAAGUUGACCGCCUGGGGAGUACGGCCGCAAGGUUAAAACUCAAAGGAAUUGACGGGGACCCGCACAAGCGGUGGAUUAUGUGGAUUAAUUCGAUGCAACGCGAAAAACCUUACCUACCCUUGACAUGCCCGGAACUUGGCAGAGAUGCCUUGGUGCCCGAAAGGGAACCGGGACACAGGUGCUGCAUGGCUGUCGUCAGCUCGUGUCGUGAGAUGUUGGGUUAAGUCCCGCAACGAGCGCAACCCUUGUCAUUAGUUGCCACAUUCAGUUGGGCACUCUAAUGAGACUGCCGGUGACAAACCGGA